AGAUCGAUCGCUUGUGAUCGUUCGGGUGUGUGCUAUCUCUGUAAUCAGUUCAUCCUUAUUGAGAUUUGGAGCGGUGGAGGACGUAGGCUAUUUGUAGCCGAACCUCGUUACAUCUUUGUGUUUGCUUUGCUAUUUUCUUCCUUCUUCUUCCUUUGAUCUUUGAUAAUCCGUUGCGGUGCUCAAGUGUUUUACCCUACUGAUACUAAGGGGUAAUCUUUUGCCCUUCGUAGGCGGAGCGAAGAGGUGAUCCUUGAGUCCGGAGUCGAGGGAGCGAGAGAGUGCUUAUCCGUUUGUAUCUCUCUUGCUU
rnacentral:lncRNA from 1 species